GACGAACGCUGGCGGCGUGCCUAAUACAUGCAAGUCGAGCGGAACCGGGGGAGCUUGCUCCUUCCAGUUUAGCGGCGGACGGGUGAGUAACACGUGGGCAACCUGCCCUGCAGAUCGGGAUAACUCCGGGAAACCGGUGCUAAUACCGAAUAGUUUGGCGCCUCUCCUGUGGCGCUACGGAAAGACGGUUUCGGCUGUCACUGCAGGAUGGGCCCGCGGCGCAUUAGCUAGUUGGUGGGGUAACGGCCCACCAAGGCGACGAUGCGUAGCCGAACUGAGAGGGUGACCGGUCACAAUGGGACUGAGACACGGCCCAGACUCCUACGGGAGGCAGCAGUAGGGAAUCUUCCGCAAUGGACGCAAGUCUGACGGAGAAACGCCGCGUGAGUGACGAAGGUUUUCGGAUCGUAAAACUCUGUUGUGAGGGAAGAACACGUACCAACUAACUAUUGGUACCUUGACGGUACCUCACCAGAAAGCCACGGCUAACUACGUGCCAGCCGCCGCCGUAA
rnacentral:rRNA from 1 species